rnacentral:lncRNA from 1 species
GCCUGUGGUUCAUUAGCUUUAGUGGCACUAAAAUGUCUUUUUCUUCUGCUGCUGAAACAGGAGCAUGAUGGUAUCAGAUCACAGACACACAGACACCCUGUGAAGCCAGGGUAUAGCAGAAAAGCCUGUCCGUGCUGUCCAUGCUGUGCAAAGCAACACGGUGGAAAUGUCCUUCAAGCUGGUGUCUACUGGCUCUGGAACAGGAGGCAGUCCUGUUGUACUGCAGCUGAUGGGUUUGGGGGGCAUGGUUAAUUAGCAGAAUGAAGCCCCUGUAGCACAUUUAUGAGCCAGUCCAAAAGCCAUCCAAAUCCCUUAUUUUUUUCUGGGUUCUGAGCUGAGAUUUUGUUUGGCACUGUGUCACACUAUGGUGGACCUCAGCUGCAAAGUAGCUACCCUGCCUCUCUCAUUUUCUCCUUCCAGAAGAAUCACAGGGAUGCACACACAUCUGCCCCAUUCUUCUGUGGGAGUUCUCUGUCUCCCUUGCUGGGCCCAUCUAUCAACAUCAGCUUUCAGGGGGAAAGACUGAGAAUCUUUCAAAACAGGCUGGAAGAGUGUAAGAAAUUGAGUGGGGAGGGAAGGGAGGAAUUUUUUCCUCUAAGUCAUAAAGGAAAGUUUGAGCCCACAAUUUGUUUAUCAUUUGAUUUUUUAACCUUUACUGUGGGAAAUAAGGAAGGGGAAAGUUAAGGUUGUCUGGAAUAGGCUUAGAUCCAAACUAUGCUGCUGAGAAAAGGAAAAAUAAUCAGAAGAGUGACAUGCAUAAACAGACAGUUAAGUCCACCAAUUAUUUGCUUUACCAAACCAUUCUCCACCCUGUACACCUCAAUUAUUGCCUCACCUAUAGCCACUUCAAACUGGAGGUUGUGCUGUGCUGCUUCUCCAGUAUUCCCAGGGGCUCACAGCUUGCUGCUCUGAUCCCCCAUUUUUUAAAAUCAUUUACACCAAUGUUAAGAACGAGUAGAAAACUAUCAGAUUGAAGAUAAAAUCUGAGCAAGUUAAGAAUGAGGAAGGAAUAAAGUUGAAGCAAUAAUACUAAGGGACA